UACGAAGGGGGCUAGCGUUGCUCGGAAUCACUGGGCGUAAAGGGCGCGUAGGCGGCGUUUUAAGUCGGGGGUGAAAGCCUGUGGCUCAACCACAGAAUGGCCUUCGAUACUGGGACGCUUGAGUAUGGUAGAGGUUGGUGGAACUGCGAGUGUAGAGGUGAAAUUCGUAGAUAUUCGCAAGAACACCGGUGGCGAAGGCGGCUCACUGGCCCGAUACUGACGCUGAGGCACGAAAGCGUGGGGAGCAAACAGG
rnacentral:rRNA from 1 species